UACGGGGGGGAGCAAGCGUUGUUCGGAUUUAUUGGGCGUAAAGGGCGCGUAGGCGGUCACGCACGUCCGUUGUGAAAUCGCUCGGCUCAACUGGGCGGGGUCAGCGGAUACGGCGUGGCUGGAGCAAGCUAGGGGGCAAUGGAAUUCCCGGUGUAGUGGUGGAAUGCGUAGAUAUCGGGAGGAACACCAGUGGCGAAGGCGGUUGCCUGGAGCUUUGCUGACGCUGAUGCGCGAAAGCGUGGGGAGCGAUCCGG
rnacentral:rRNA from 1 species